rnacentral:rRNA from 1 species
CUACGGGGUGCAGCAGUGAGGAAUAUUGCACAAUGGGGGGAACCCUGAUGCAGCAACGCCGCGUGGAGGAUGACGCAUUUCGGUGUGUAAACUCCUUUUAUAUGUCAAGAAAAUGACGGUAGCAUAUGAAUAAGCACCGGCUAACUCCGUGCCAGCAGCCGCGGUAAUACGGAGGGUGCAAGCGUUACUCGGAAUCACUGGGCGUAAAGGACGCGUAGGCGGGUUGGAAAGUCAGGUGUGAGAUCCUACAGCUUAACUGUAGAACUGCACUUGAAACUUCUAAUCUAGAGUAUGGGAGGGGGAGAUGGAAUUAGUGGUGUAGGGGUAAAAUCCGUAGAUAUCACUAGGAAUACCUAAAGCGAAGGCGAUCUCCUGGAACAUUACUGACGCUCAGAUGCGAAAGCGUGGGGAGCAAACAGGAUUAGAUACCCCGGUAGUC